ACACGAAAAUGCACAGGUUGUGAACUCGAAGAGUAGGGCGGGACACGUGGUAUCCUGUCUGAAUAUGGGGGGACCAUCCUCCAAGGCUAAAUACUCCUGACUGACCGAUAGUGAACCAGUACCGUGAGGGAAAGGCGAAAAGAACCCCGGCGAGGGGAGUGAAAAAGAACCUGAAACCGUGUACGUACAAGCAGUGGGAGCACCUUCGGGUGUGACUGCGUACCUUUUGUAUAAUGGGUC
rnacentral:rRNA from 1 species